GACGAACGCUGGCGGCGUGCUUAACACAUGCAAGUCGAACGGAAAGGCCCUGCUUUUGUGGGGUGCUCGAGUGGCGAACGGGUGAGUAACACGUGAGUAACCUGCCCUUGACUUUGGGAUAACUUCAGGAAACUGGGGCUAAUACCGGAUAGGAGCUCCUGCUGCAUGGUGGGGGUUGGAAAGUUUCGGCGGUUGGGGAUGGACUCGCGGCUUAUCAGCUUGUUGGUGGGGUAGUGGCUUACCAAGGCUUUGACGGGUAGCCGGCCUGAGAGGGUGACCGGCCACAUUGGGACUGAGAUACGGCCCAGACUCCUACGGGAGGCAGCAGUGGGGAAUAUUGCACAAUGGGCGGAAGCCUGAUACAGCAACGCCGCGUGCGGGAUGACGGCCUUCGGGUUGUAAACCGCUUUCGCCUGUGACGAAGCGUGAGUGACGGUAAUGGGGAAAGAAGCACCGGCUAACUACGU
rnacentral:rRNA from 1 species